AAUGGCAGCCAUAUCACCCUGCAACUCACAACUGGCAACCCACUGAAGCUAAGCAGGCGUGAGCCUGGUCAGUACCUGGAUGGGAGACCUCCUGGGAAAAACUAAGGUUGCUGCUGGAA
ensembl:rRNA 5S_rRNA 5S ribosomal RNA